rnacentral:lncRNA from 10 species
AAACUAGGCCUGUUAUUAACAAGUACAAAUGGAAACAGACCAACACUACCUCUACUCACAUAACUUAGCCACAGCACAACACGAGGUAAGAGGCUGGGUGUUGCAGAAGUGACUGGUAACCACUUUGUUUUUGCAACAAAAGCCCCCGAAUUUCAGCUGUGCACGUGGCAUUUCUCACCCUCCCUUGCAGCUGGGUGUAGCCAGGUAGUGAAGUCGAAGUCAAUGGCAUGCAGCCACAGCGCUGGGUGCAGCUGCGGGGUCAUCUCUCCAGUGGCCUGCUCUGGACUCUCUCUUGCCCCCUCUGCUGGCUGGAAGAGGCACUGACAGGAGCAACCUAGGACGCCUCGCUGAGGCUGGCGGGCUGCUCACUGCUCCGGCCUGGCUCACCUCUAGACGGCAAGAUGAGUGAGCCAUAAACUUCUAUCCAAUUAAAGUCACUGUCUUUUUGAAGUCUCAUUACAGCAUCUGGCUGUACUCUAACAUAUACAAAUAUGUUUCUGGUUCAACAUCUCCUGUGCACGGAGAAAGCACAGGCAUGUUUCUCACAAGUCACAAACUACUAAGUUAAAAUCCUUAACUUCUGGGAAUGUUUUUUAAAAGGAGGUGAAAAUUGGUUACAACUUUACUUUUCUUACCUUGUUAAGAUACUCAUAAGCCUCUACAUCAUUUCCACUGUGAUAGUUUCGGAUCCCUUGAAGUAAGUAGAGUCUUAGAAACAGUACCUUCUCUUUCCCACAAUUUCCUUUUAUGUGGACCAGUCUCUGAUGAUUUUCUCCGUAACAAUUUUUAAAGCAUUUCUGGGCCAAGUUUAAUUUUUUUUCUGCAUCAUCAAGGCAUUCCAGCUGUUCCAGGCGGAAGUAACACCACACUAUAUCCAGCUGGAGGACGGCGUAGUUAUCCACUGUGUCCAGCAGCUCUCUGCAACACUCACUGGAAAGAGAAGGACAGUGACAUCACUGCCAAGCAGCAUUUGAAACAUUUUUAGCAUUUGAAACCUUUUUGUGAAUGACUGGAAUUCUUUCCCCGUUCUUGGUAUAUAUUCAAAGGCUGACUGCUCUAAAAGAGAGAUCCUAAUGUUUAGGAAGGGAGCUGUGUUUAUAAUCUCAUCCUUCUAAUGGGGGAAAGAAAGAGAAAUCAGAAAUCAGGGCUUAGGAAUCAAAGCUUACCACCACUUGCCCCAGGACACACAUGCAGCCCCUUGAUAGGAAGCAGAACCCAGGGCCACUGUUUCAGAGGCCCUCAGCAAAUACGGGGAAGACCAUGCUUUAAAGCUGUGACUUCCAAUCCUGACUGCAAAUCAGCAUCACCUGGGCCAGAGCAACGUUCUUUCUUUCUUUCUUUCUUUCUUUAAGAAUCAUUGAUCCCACCCAGACCAAACAUAACAGAAAUUUCUGGGGGUUGGGCCUGGUGGUUAUACUGCCAGAGUCUCCCCAGCUGAUUCUAGUGUACAGCCAGGGCUGAACACCACUUCUUUAAAGACACCAAAAAAAUCCCUACGUACUAUGAAUGCCUCAGCUGAUGACGGCUCUGACAAGGCAUUCAUGUUCAAUCAUAUUCAAGCUGGGGGAAAAACAAUCCAGAAAGCACCAGGCUCUAACGGCCCAGCUGAUUUCUGAGGGCCUGUGUGCAGGCAAAAUUUGACUCCGUAUUCGUGGCAGCAGGCUGAACCCAGGCGCAGCAAAGGGAAGAAAGACAGCAACAGAAGUCAGUGUGCUCCAGGAGGAGCACUGACAAAGACAGCCAUCAAGGUGACUAAUUUUAAGUUAUGAUUACAUUAAAAAUUCCUAAUGCCAAUCUAGGUCUCAAGUCUUCAAUAAGAACAUUUGGAACCACACAUUGUAUAUGAACAAGGUUUUCUCUCUUUAUGUUCAUUGGUGUUCUACUAAAAAUAAGAAUGCUCUUGUAUAAAACUACAAAAUCCACAUGGCCUCAAGCUUCCUGUCCUGCCUAUCAAAAUAUGCAUGGAAUAAAAAAAAAAGGACUUUAAUUUUGUCAUUUACUCUUUAAAACAGUAGUCUCCUAAAGAGGGCCCAUGUACACAGUCCAGUUGUGGGUGCGGCAAGAAAAAUGUAUCACAGCAGUAUUUUUAUAUUUAUUUUCAUCUCUCUCAACAUUUCUAAUUUCGUGAAUGUUUGAGAACACAUACACCAUGUUUUACACACGUGUGCACGCAGACACACAGAUGUGGAGCUGGGUGAGGGGUGCUUUCUCCAAAUCUACGGCUCAGCCUGAGAACCUGCCUUUGAGAGAAACAGCAGCGCUUUGUGGAUUGUGGUCUGAUCUCACAGUCGUGUUGAGAUUUCCUGCCUCUAGGCACAUUCUGGUCCCAGUGACAGAAGACUCUCCUGCCACUCGCAGGAAAGCAAUGGGCAUGUGGCCGAACUUCUCCAUCUCCUGCAUGUUGCUUUAACAGGCUCGUUCAUGUUUUACUAAGCAUCAAGAGCGUGGGCAGAAAUGGCCUCAUGUCAGUUAAAAAUAAAAUCAAUAUGCACUUAUCUC